rnacentral:sRNA from 1 species
ACGCGAUUGAUGCUGUCCUAUCCAACGC